UAAAGAGAGCAGGGAGCAAGAAGGGAAGGGAAGGGAAGAGAGGAGGAGAGAGGACUCGGAUGUUUCUUUUCUGUCUCUCUUUUCAUUCUCUUUCGGUCUCUGCUUCUCUUUUCCGUCCGCUCGGAUUGGUCGACAGUGAGACAAGAAACAAAAAGAGGAUCGAAGAGAAGCAACAAAGGGAGAGGGAAGGAAAGACAG
rnacentral:ribozyme from 11 species